GAUGAACGCUAGCUAUAGGCUUAACACAUGCAAGUCGAGGGGAAACGGCAUUAUGUGCUUGCACAUUUUGGACGUCGACCGGCGCACGGGUGAGUAUCGCGUAUCCAACCUGCCCUUUACUUGGGGAUACCCCGUUGAAAGACGGUCUAAUACCCGAUGUAAUUCAUUGAUGGCAUCAGAUAUGAAUAAAAGAUUUAUCGGUAAAGGAUGGGGAUGCGUCUGAUUAGCUUGUUGGUGAGGUAAAGGCUCACCAAGGCGACGAUCAGUAGGGGUUCUGAGAGGAAGGUCCCCCACAUUGGAACUGAGACACGGUCCAAACUCCUACGGGAGGCAGCAGUGAGGAAUAUUGGUCAAUGGGCGCAAGCCUGAACCAGCCAAGUAGCGUGCAGGAAGACGGCCCUAUGGGUUGUAAACUGCUUUUAUACGAGAAUAAUUUGAUGCACGUGUGCGUUAUUGCAUGUAUCGUAUGAAUAAGGACCGGCUAAUUCCGUGCCAGCAGCCGCGGUAAUACGGAAGGUCCAGGCGUUAUCCGGAUUUAUUGGGUUUAAAGGGAGUGUAGGCGGUUUGUUAAGCGUGUUGUGAAAUUUAGAUGCUCAACAUUUAACUUGCAGCGCGAACUGGCGAACUUGAGUGCACACAACGUAUGCGGAAUUCAUGGUGUAGCGGUGAAAUGCUUAGAUAUCAUGAAGAACUCCGAUUGCGAAGGCAGCAUACGGGAGUGUAACUGACGCUUAAGCUCGAAGGUGCGGGUAUCGAACAGG
rnacentral:rRNA from 1 species